ACACAUGCAAGUCGAACGGUAACAGGAAGAAGCUUGCUUCUUUGCUGACGAGUGGCGGACGGGUGAGUAAUGUCUGGGAAACUGCCUGAUGGAGGGGGAUAACUACUGGAAACGGUAGCUAAUACCGCAUAACGUCGCAAGACCAAAGAGGGGGACCUUCGGGCCUCUUGCCAUCGGAUGUGCCCAGAUGGGAUUAGCUAGUAGGUGGGGUAACGGCUCACCUAGGCGACGAUCCCUAGCUGGUCUGAGAGGAUGACCAGCCACACUGGAACUGAGACACGGUCCAGACUCCUACGGGAGGCAGCAGUGGGGAAUAUUGCACAAUGGGCGCAAGCCUGAUGCAGCCAUGCCGCGUGUAUGAAGAAGGCCUUCGGGUUGUAAAGUACUUUCAGCGGGGAGGAAGGGAGUAAAGUUAAUACCUUUGCUCAUUGACGUUACCCGCAGAAGAAGCACCGGCUAACUCCGUGCCAGCAGCCGCGGUAAUACGGAGGGUGCAAGCGUUAAUCGGAAUUACUGGGCGUAAAGCGCACGCAGGCGGUUUGUUAAGUCAGAUGUGAAAUCCCCGGGCUCAACCUGGGAACUGCAUCUGAUACUGGCAAGCUUGAGUCUCGUAGAGGGGGGUAGAAUUCCAGGUGUAGCGGUGAAAUGCGUAGAGAUCUGGAGGAAUACCGGUGGCGAAGGCGGCCCCCUGGACGAAGACUGACGCUCAGGUGCGAAAGCGUGGGGAGCAAACAGGAUUAGAUACCCUGGUAGUCCACGCCGUAAACGAUGUCGACUUGGAGGUUGUGCCCUUGAGGCGUGGCUUCCGGAGCUAACGCGUUAAGUCGACCGCCUGGGGAGUACGGCCGCAAGGUUAAAACUAAAUGAAUUGUCGGGGGCCCGCACAAGCGGUGGAGCAUGUGGUUUAAUUCGAUGCAACGAGAAGAACCUUACCUGGUCUUGACAUCCACGGAAGUUUUCAGAGAUGAGAAUGUGCCUUCGGGAACCGUGAGACAGGUGCUGCAUGUCUGUCGUCAGCUCGUGUUGUGAAAUGUUGGGUUAAGUCCCUCAACGAGCGCAACCCUUAUCCUUUGUUGCCAGCGGUCCGGCCGGGUACUCAAAGGAGACUGCCAGUGAUAAACUGGAGGAAGGUGGGGAUGACGUCAAGUCAUCAUGGUCCUUACGACCAGGGCUACACACGUGCUUCAAUGGCGCAUACAAAGAGAAGCGACCUCGCGAGAGCAAGCGGACCUCAUAAAGUGCGUCGUAGUCCGGAUUUGAGUCUGCAACUCGACUCCAUGAAGUCGGAAUCGUUAGUAAUCGUGGAUCAGAAUGCCACGGUGAAUACGUUCCCGGGCCUUGUACACACCGCCCGUCACUCCAUGGGAGUGGGUUGCAAAAGAAGUAGGUAGCUUAACCUUCGGGAGGGCGCUUACCACUUUGUGAUUCAUGAC
rnacentral:rRNA from 1 species